UACAGAGGGUGCAAGCGUUAAUCGGAAUUACUGGGCGUAAAGCGUGCGCAGACGGUUGCGUAAGUCAGAUGUGAAAGCCCCGGGCUCAACCCGGGAAGUGCACCCGAUACUGCAUGGCUCGAGUACUGGAGAGGUUGGUGGAAUUCUCGGUGUAGCGGUGAAAUGCGUAGAUAUCAGGAGGAACACCUGUGGCGAAAGCGGCUCACUGGACCAUAACUGACGCUGAUGCACGAAAGCUAGGGGAGCAAACAGG
rnacentral:rRNA from 1 species